rnacentral:rRNA from 1 species
GACGUAGGGCGCGAGCGUUGUCCGGAUUUAUUGGGCGUAAAGAGCUCGUAGGCGGUUUGUCGCGUCUGCUGUGAAAACUGGAGGCUCAACCUCCAGCCUGCAGUGGGUACGGGCAGACUAGAGUGCGGUAGGGGAGAUUGGAAUUCCUGGUGUAGCGGUGAAAUGCGCAGAUAUCAGGAGGAACACCAAUUGCGAAGGCAGCUCGCUGGGACGUAACUGACGCUGAGACGCGAAAGCGUGGGGAGCAAACAGG